rnacentral:rRNA from 1 species
GAAUGCCCUGGCACUAGGAGCCGAUGAAGGACGUGAUAAGCUGCGAUAAGCUACAUGUAGGCGCACACAGCCUGUGAUAUGUAGAUUUCCGAAUGGGGAAACCCAUCUAGUUAUGCUAGAUACUGUAUACCGAAUACAUAGGUAUAUGGAGGUACACCUGGGGAACUGAAACAUCUAAGUACCCAGAGGAAGAGAAAGAAAAUUCGAUUCCCUAAGUAGCGGCGAGCGAAAGGGGAAGAGCCCAAACCAGGAACUUGUUCCUGGGGUUGCGGAUAGAUCAUAACGCUUUGAUUUCUUUAGUUGAAGAGAACUGGAAAGUUCCGUCGUAGAAGGUAAUAACCCUGUAGGCGAAAAGGAAAGAAAAGUAGAUCUACUCCAGAGUACCACGAGACACGUGAAACCUUGUGGGAAGCUGGGAGGACCAUCUCCCAAGGCUAAAUACUACCUAGUGACCGAUAGUGAAGCAGUACCGUGAGGGAAAGGUGAAAAGAACCCCGGAAGGGGAGUGAAAUAGAAUCUGAAACCGUGUGCCUACAAUCGGUCGGAGCACAUUAAAGUGUGACGGCGUACUUUUUGUAGAACGGGCCAGCGAGUUACGAUAUAUAGCAAGGUUAAGCACUUAUGGUGUGGAGCCGAAGGGAAACCGAGUCUGAAUAGGGCAACUAGUUGUAUAUUGUAGACCCGAAACCGAGUGACCUAUCCAUGGCCAGGAUGAAGCGGAAGUAAAAUUCCGUGGAGGUCCGAACCACGUUGGUGUUGAAAAACCAUGGGAUGAGCUGUGGAUAGCGGAGAAAUUCCAAUCGAACUCGGAGAUAGCUGGUUCUCCUCGAAAUAGCUUUAGGGCUAGCGUCGGGUAAUUGAGUAGUGGAGGUAGAGCACUGAAUGGGCUAGGGGCUGACAACAGUUACUGAACCCUAUCAAACUCCGAAUGCCAUAUACUUGUACCCCGGCAGUCAGACUACGAAUGAUAAGAUCCGUGGUCAAAAGGGAAACAGCCCAGACCAUCAGCUAAGGUCCCAAAGUGUAAGUUAAGUGGGAAAGGAUGUGGGAUUUCUAAGACAACUAGGAUGUUGGCUUAGAAGCAGCCACUCAUUUAAAGAGUGCGUAAUAGCUCACUAGUCGAGAGAUCCUGCGCCGAAGAUGUAACGGGGCUCAAACUUACCACCGAAGCUAUGGAUGUGUACUUUGUACACGUGGUAGAGGAGCUUUCUGUACAGGUUGAAGUCAUACCGUAAGGAGUGGUGGACAGUACAGAAGUGAGAAUGCUGGCAUAAGUAGCGAAAAACAAGUGAGAAUCUUGUUGACCGAAUAUCUAAGGUUUCCUGGGGAAGGCUCGUCCUCCCAGGGUUAGUCGGGACCUAAGCCGAGGCCGAAAGGCGUAGGUGAUGGACAACUGGUUGAUAUUCCAGUACCACCAUAAUGCGUUUGACAAAUGGGAUGACGCAGGAGGAUAGGAUGUGCGCACUAUUGGAUGUGCG